UACGUAGGGUGCGAGCGUUGUCCGGAAUUAUUGGGCGUAAAGAGCUCGUAGGCGGCCUGUCGCGUCGGAUGUGAAAGCCCGGGGCUUAACCCCGGAUCUGCAUUCGAUACGGGCAGGCUAGAGUGUGGUAGGGGAGAUCGGAAUUCCUGGUGUAGCGGUGAAAUGCGCAGAUAUCAGGAGGAACACCGGUGGCGAAGGCGGAUCUCUGGGCCAUUACUGACGCUGAGGAGCGAAAGCGUGGGGAGCGAACAGG
rnacentral:rRNA from 1 species